GCUUGGGAAUAUCGAAUGGUGAACACGUACGAUGUCCAUUUCUACGCGUCGUUUGCUCUCGCAGAGCUCUGGCCAGAGCUUGAGAUUACGAUUCAAUCGGAAUUUAGUACGUGGCAAAUUGAAAUUUUUCAUUCACUGCUGACAAUGCAAUACAUAUAUAGUACAUACAUAAUAGAUAUACAGUAGUAUAUAACAUUACAAUAUAAUUACAUCACAAUACGAUAUAUAACAAUAGUAUAAUAAUACAAUAUGAUACAAACAUAAUACAUAUAUAGUGCUUAGUAUAUAACAUUACAGUAUAAUUCCAAUACACUACAUUACAAUACGAUAUAUAACAUUAGAUUAAUAAUAAUACAAUAUAAUACAUAAUACAUAUACCGUAUUUCCUCUAUUAGUCUUGCAUGCAAGACUAAUUUUCAAUCGACCCGUAGGGGUGCAAGACUAAUAGAGACUGCAAGACUAUUAGAGGCUGCAAGACUAAUUUCCGAAGGUCCAAUAGCUUUGUAAAAUUGAUAAUUUAUUAUCAAAAAUUUGACUUGAAACAGUCUAAAUCGUGAAAAAUACAUACUUUUCUAUUGUUUUAUCAAUUAUUUGAACACUUUAAAAUUUAAUUUAGCUAAAAAAAUGGCGAAAUUUUUGAAGUUUUGACAAAAUACCGCUGGUCUGGCAAGAAUAGGGGCGCAAGACUAUUACCGUAUUUCCUCUAUUAGUCUUGCAUGCAAUACUAAUAGAGGCUGCAAGACUAAUUUUCGAUUGGUCCGUAGGGGUGCAAGACUAAUAGAGGAAAUACGGUAGUACAUAUGUAAUACUUACAUAAUACGUAUAUAGCGCAUAGUAUGUAACAUUACAAUAAUAAUACAAUUCAUUACAUUACAAUACAUAUUACAAUACAAUAUAUAACAUUAGAAUAAUUAUAUAAUACAGUACAUAUAUAAUAAAUAAGAGUUGGAAGGUUUGAGGUUAUUACGGUUUAUUAAGGAUAAACUAAUAGAGAAAUCACCGAGUUAAUGGGACAUGUAAAGAGGGGAAAAUGGCAAUAAGUAACACAAGUAAAAGGAAUUAGAGAAGACCUCGAAUGAGCGUGACGACGGUCUUUUAUACUCCUGGUUGACGAGGAUUGGCGGGCAGCAAUCCGAGGCGAAUUGAGCGCGCCGUCCAACGGGGCGCGUUUGCAUCGAGUACGGUAGACAGGUAGCAGGCCUAGUCGUUGUUGUUGGCAGCGGUGACGGCCGAAUGCAGACAUGCAUUCGCUACGACGACACUUGCUGGACCUGGAAAACUAGACUGAAGUAAUGCUCUUAUAUUGGAGAGGUGGGAACCGGAAAAUCCUUACAAAUACAUAUAAAGCGCAUACUUUAUAACAGUGCAAUAUAAUUGCAUUACAAUGAUAAUACAAUAUAAUAAAUACAUAAUGCAUAUAUACUAUUACAAUAAUUAUAGUACAAUAUAUAAUACAUACAUUAUAAAAUUGCAGCCGACCAAGUAUAUCACUCAAUCGAAAAACCCACAAGAUUCCAUAUGGAAGGAGACUGGGCGAACGUGAAAACCGCUAGCCGCGUACCUCAUGACCUCGGAAAUCCCGCCGAUGAGCCAUGGAUUGCCACAAAUGCCUAUGUGAUGCAUGAUACUGGGAAAUGGAAAGAUCUCAAUAUGAAGUAUGUAUUAACGUCGUGGCGAGAUUACGUAGUCCUCUCGAAUGAACACGAGGAUUUUCUAUUUCAUACGUGGCCGGCGGUACGGAUGAUUAUGCUUGAAGCACUGGAGAAUUGGGAUCAAGAUGGCGAUGGAAUGAUUGAGAACUUCGGAAAAGCAGAUCAGACUUAUGAUGCGUGGCAAAUGGAGGGUGUUAGUGCGUAUUGUGGAUCCUUAUGGCUCGCUUCUCUUCGAGUUGCUAUUGAAAUGGCCGGGCUUAUGAAGGAUGAUGAGACUCAGCAGCUGUUCAG
rnacentral:sRNA from 1 species